AUGUAAGUGAUUCAGUUUUAAUGUCAUAUGGUGGUCCUGUAUAAGGUGCUGUAGUCAUCAGAAAUAACCCCCUUUUCCCCACACGGACCAAUGUUCCUAGAGCUAAACCUUUUUAGUAAGUGUACAACAUACCUUACCUCAUACAUCAUACCUUAUUUUCUUGUCAAUACAAAUGUGUUAAUGACACUUUGAGCACAGUAGUAGUAAACAGGAGUAUAAAUAAAACCACGGUUCUGCCAGUAUGACAUUUGAAAGAGCCUUAAUGCCAGUUUAACCAGUUUAACCAGGGGGCCUCCCACAAGAGCGAGCCCCCCUGCUGAAAAGGUUGCUUCCUUCCUGAAACGUGGAGAGCUAUAACUCACCAGUGCCGGUUAGUGCUACAGGGCAGGUCAUGGCAUGUGGGCAUAGCUGCGGUCUGUGAGCUCUGUAUUGAGACAAGGCCAGUUGAACCAGUCUGUCCGUCCAUUGCUGGGAACCUAGAGAUAACAGUUCUUUUUGUUGCAGUUGUAAAGGAGUGACACCUAAUGCCAAGUUGUGUGGUGAUUAGGGUGAGGGUUUCAUUCAGACAGUUUGAUCAAUUUUGUGAAUGUGUUUGUGCUGGCUUGGGUUGUUUGUGCUGGCUUAAGCUUGUUGUUUUAAACGUGUAACUGAGGCAAGUCUUGCAAAAGGUACAAAGGCUUGUUCUCAUCUUUGCAGCGAUAUAUCUGGCGGCACAACCAGCCGGCGACUUAGUUGGUGAGAAAAACAAGUCGGUGACUGCAGGGAAGCAGGAUGUGUGUCAAGGACUUGAAGUUCAUGAAUAUGCGAACAUGUCAGAGAAUCAAAACAACGCUCAAUUGUUAAUUACAAAUCUCAUCGAUUAUGCUUUUUAGUAAUGCUCCAUUUUUGAUAGUGUCUUUAUGACUCUAGCGGAUGUUCAGUUACAAGGUCCUCAUAGAGAUCUCCACGAAGAACCGUAGCGUUUGACCACACCAUGUGCGGCCCCCUAGGAAUGUAAGCAUCUUGGAGUGCAAGCCACAACAGGUUUAACCCACAUCGCCCAGUCAUCUGUGCCCAUGUCCCAGGAGAACGAAGAGGGAUGACGAAACCAGCCAUAGACGUCCAUGCAUCGUUAAGAAAUGCAAUUAAGAAUGUUUAAUUUCUGUUUUUUUUUCUGAUGUAAGCACAUAAAUCGGACUGUGCAUUUUGGCUCGCGUUAAAGAUCAUCCGUCACAUUUGUUUAGUCACAGAAAGUGCUGUGCGUGCAGAUCUGAGCACACGCUUUCUUGUAACUUAAUAAUUUUGAGCUUUUAAUUACACACAAAUACUGAUUUGAUGGAACCCCCAUGUCACUGCAUGCGUUAUUUGUUAUUGAAAUGGCUCGAGUUAGUUGAGCUCAGCAGUAGGUCAGCGAGGUUUAAUUAUGGGAUGAAUUAUUAUUAGAAUUAAAAUUGCCAAUAUGAGCACAGAUGAACCAUGAUAAACACUUAGUGUUGCUGGUUCAUCUGCUACACCUAUCAUACAGAUCACUUUAGAGAUGUACAGUUACUGCCUAUAGCCCAUCUGUUGCUAUGUACAAUUUGUCAGCCUGCCGUUAGACUGUCCAUCAUCCUACAUGGACAGCAUGACAGCAGCACGGUGUUGUGUGUGGCACAAGGCUUAGGUGUUGUAAGUGUAUACAGUCAUUUAUAGAAAUAAUAAUCAUAGUUCUUUGUUGUGGUUUAGCAAGCAAUGUGUACAGUUUAUUAAAGAAAAUUAUACAUGUACUGUAUAAUAACUUUUGCACUA